UUAUGGUUAAAUCAUAAUUCCUUCAAAGCCUAAAAACCGAACAGAUUUUAAGCGUGCACGCCUCCCCGUCUCUCAGAGAGAGUCAUCGGUUCUCUAAACCGCUGAGAAGAUACACGCAUCGCUUGAUCUGCAGGGAAGCGGCGGAAGACGAUGCUCCGGAUCUGUCACGCACUCGUUAAGAAUCUCCUCCCUUUGGAAUCGGAACUGGUUAAAGGCUACAAGUUUAUACCGAUGAGGGAUGGUUAAGACAAAUAGAGGUGUUGCAUUCUCGAUAUAAUGGUAUAUGCAUCUUGUGCUAUCUGAUCUAUACGACUACUGCGUUUUCCAGUUAUAGCUCUUGGUCAGUCAUUCUGUAUUGACUCUAAACCUCUGUUAAAAGGUUCGGGAUAAUAAGAAGUAAACCUUCUGGGACAGCUAGUGAGCAUGAACAGUUAAUCAUUGCUUCCAUUAUCAUACAGGACAAUGAAGCACUUAAGAGUUGCAUAUACAACAUGGAUCCUGUGUUAUAAUUCAGCAUCUGGUGAACAUACACAAUGAUAAAUGAAGCACACAGAAGUGGUUAUACAAGUUGGACAUAUCUAUAUUAAUCGUAAAAGCCGGUACUGUAAAAGAAAAGGAGAGAUGGUGCAGGCAUUGGCAACUGUGCCGGAGAUAAUAUUGAAGAAUAGGAAAGGUGAUGAAUUGGCUUUGAGGAGGAUGGCUGCUUUCGGCAUAAGAAGUAUAAGCAAGAGUUUAUCAGGAAACCUGAGGACUUUGUCAAAGAGUUUCACUAAAGGGAGGUGGACAUUGUUCAAAUGAAACACAGGCUGAAGAGAAAGGCCAGCAUUAGAGACAACUAGCCCCCAGCUUGAAUACAGGGGAGAAAUGACAUGCAUCCUGCUAUUAGGAAGAACUUAUACAGCCUAAACUUUGCAGGGUAGGUUAUGCAAAGAUUGACACUAGCACUUAUAAUAUAGUUAAAGCUAUUUGUAUGGUGACUUUGAGGCAGUUAAGGCUUAUAAAUUUUCAAUCUUCUAAA